rnacentral:lncRNA from 1 species
CUGGUUCGAGGAAUUGAGGAAAACGAGGCUGCUGGAUGGAACCAGGAGCUAGAAACUAAUGAAGCAAUCUGGGUUGAUAGGGUAGACUCACCCUCCAAUGGAUUGGUUGAUAUUGAAUGUUGACGGUUGUAGUAAAGGUGAUCUCGGCUGUGCAGGUGUGGGUGGAAUGAUCAGUGAUAGCAUGGAUAUAUGUGGAUUAAAGGUUUCGCCACCAGCACAAGAUGUUGUUCCCGGUGGCAGCUGAGUUACGGGUGGUGGUUACAGGUUUGGAGCUUGCUAUGAUUACUAGAGUUCGUCUCUUAGUACCGAGUAGAAACUGAGAGGUUCAUGUUCAGCAUAUCUACAGGGAAGCAAAUGCCGCCGCAGCUUUUUCAACAAGAAUUGACAGGAAGAACUAUCAGCUUUUUAAUGCGGUACUGUGAUGGAAAAUGCAGGGGCGGUGGGGGAGUGUCUAUAAAAUUGGAAAACUCGUCAUCUUUCAAUGGAUCUGAUAGCUUACUAUUUGUUGCUCCCUUAAGGUUUUAUGUUUUCGUUUCCCUCAUUGGACAAAUUAAGACUUCUUCUUCCUCAUUCUGUCAUUAGCUAGCAAGCUCAUCCGCUGGUG